rnacentral:rRNA from 1 species
UACGUAGGGUGCAAGCGUUAAUCGGAAUUACUGGGCGUAAAGCGUGCGCAGGCGGUUGUGCAAGACAGAUGUGAAAAUCCCCGGGCUCAACCUGGGAAUUGCAUUUGUGACUGCACGGCUAGAGUGUGUCAGAGGGGGGUAGAAUUCCACGUGUAGCAGUGAAAUGCGUAGAGAUGUGGAGGAAUACCGAUGGCGAAGGCAGCCCCCUGGGAUAACGACUGACGCUCAGUGCACGAAAGCGUGGGGAGCAAACAGG